CGUAUGAGUUGUUUUUUCUCAAUGAAAGCUUCACUAAAUGGGAUUAGCUGAAUUUUUCCUUUUCCUUUUGGUACUGGGAAUCAAACUCAGGACCUUGCAUUUGACAGGCAGGCACUUGUGCUGCUGAGCUAUAUCCCUGGCCCAGAAUUAAAUGAAUUUUGGCACUUUGUGAUAAGUAGGUGCAUUUUAAGUUGCAGUUUGGUUGCUCCUCUCUGAAAGGUUUGCCAUCACUGCCCUUGACUUAAGUUUAAACUUUGGGUUUGUGUUGGACAAGGUUACUGUUAGGAUUAAUUUUGGGGGGGUUAGGGUUUGGUCUUGGCUAAAGCUAGAACUAGGUGUAGAUCUAGCCCUAGGAUUCCUGUUCAGUCAAGGUUAGUGUAAUGGCAGAGUUAAUGCUCUGGUAUAAUUAGUCUCCCACUGACGUUAGGGCUAGGGUUUGUUUAGUGUUACCAUUAGAGCAAUGAUUCUACUAAGGCUAUGCUUAUGGUUAGUGAGAGGGCCGAAUCUAGUAACAGGAAUGAGGAUAGAUCUAAGUUUCCGUCAUGGCUAGGAUAGGAUUAGGUGUAGGGUUGGUGUUAGUGCUAGAGUUAUGUUUACAGAUAGGACUAGGGGUAGUGUUAGGAUUAAUGUGGGGGAUAAGGCUUGGGUUAGGCUUAGUGUUAGUUGUAGGUUAGAGUUAGGGUUAUGUUUAGCAGUAGAGUUCCCCCAAGGUAUGAAUAGGACAGGGAUACAGUUAUGCGCAAUGUUAGAGUUAAGGUCAGGGUUCGCUUUAGGGUUCCACCAGGCUUGGGAGUAGUUUUAGGUUUAAAUUUGGGUUUAGGCUUAUGGUAAGUUUUAGGUGUAUGGUCAUGGUUAUGGUUCCACCAGCAUUAGGACUAGUGUCAUUUUGGUGUUCAUCCUAGGGCCAGGAUAGUGCUAUGGCUAUGGCCUGAGUUAGGUGUAGGCCUAGAGUUUAGUCAGGUUUAGUUUUAGGAUAACUCCUGCUAUGGUUAUUUUUCUUGUUAGGAUUAGGACUAAUUUUAAGGAUAGUGCAAAGUGUGUGUGUAGAGCGAAUGCUAGGAUUACAUCUCGUUUUCACAUAUAGGUAGGGUGACUUUUAUGGUUAGGGUUAGGGGUAUUUUCAGGUUUGGGAUAGAAUCAGGUUGACUUUACCACCUUUUUAGGGUUAGGUUUAUGGUUAAAGUUAGGUUGAGGCCCCACUCCAAGACUGACCCCCCUGAGCAACCCACACCCAGGCGCUGCUGCCACCAGGUGACUGUACACACCCAGCCAUGGGGAGCCAGAGUGGGACAGAGAGGCCUGUGUGUCUUGCCUCUGGCCACCACCACCACCAGAAGCGAAGCAUGCAUUUCGCCAGCCAGAGAGGACUGGCCCAGACCGACUGAACUGAUCAUCCUCCUUCCAGCCAAUGUUGCUGGUACCUUUUCCUGGAGUCUGCUCAGUUCAGACUAACUGAGAUGACAAUCAAAAGACCCCUCUCACUGAAAAGAAACUAACACCCAUGAGGAGAGUUUUGCUUCAGGACUGAAGGAGUUACCCUGCCACAGAGACCAGAUUUCCUGGGGACCAUAAAAAAUUAAAAAUGGACAUACAUACAUGGCAAUGUGGGAAAGCCAGAGAACAGAAGAGCCUGAAAGCCAUCUGAGUCUCCUAGGGCAGAUCAAGGGGACAGAAAUUGAGAAGAAAUCAAAUACCAGGACCCUAACAACAUGAAACCUCCACCAAGGAGCUGAGCACUGGCAGUGUCUCUGAGUGACCACAAGAGAGCAGCUGAGAGAGUUUCUGGAAAAGAACAGCCUUGGUGAUCUUGCAGUAGGGCAGAAGAAGAAAAAGGUUAAAAAUAGCAGUCACCCUGGUACAGCCACUGCUGGUGAUUGUCAUGCAGCCGAGGAAGCCUGAAGACACUGCUCCUGCACGACCUUCUGCCUUUGACACCGCGUCACCUGGUGGUGUCCCUCCCCCAGGAGCUGCUCUCACUGGUGGCAUCACUUCAGAACCAUGAUGCUGCCUGUGAUCCUAAUCGCACUGAUAAAAGCAAGUGAAUGUGCCCUACUGGACAGCAGUCACUAGGCUAAGGGAUGGCGCUGAAGAGCCAGGUCCCAGGGUCUGCAGCAGCAGGAGACUGGCUCCUGUCCCACCUGUGGCAAGCACCCGGAAGCCACCAAGCAGCAGAAGUAGCAGCCAUCCCAGCUGAGCCUCCGCGCUCUGCCUUGGCAAGAACAUGAAGGGAACGAGGAGGAAAGGCCUGCCCGACGUGGGCCAGCGUGAGCACCCCUGAGGCCAGGCAGCAUUUUAAUGAAGGUCUUGCCACUGCCCAGGAUGCGCUCAUUUGUCUGCAUUGGCAGCUGAGGGAGCAGAAGCAUCAGUGCCAGUACCUGGCUUGCCUGGCAGUCCUGACCUAGGGCGAGCCCGAGAAGGAGGCACUGGCCCCGGGACAGAGGAUGACUGCAUGUCUGGGGAAAGGCACCAGGCCCGACAGGAGGCCACGGCAAAGCUGCAGUUAGGGGCUGACUACGUGGUCUACAGUGAAAGCUGCUGCCCUAGAGAAGCUUAGGAAGACCCUGGAUGGACCCUGUGAUUCCCAUUGCAAGGACCGGGAACAAAUCAAGAGCAGAGUGAUUUGAGAGACCAGCCUCCUUCACCAAGAUGUUUGUGGACAGCUGUCCAUUUCUACUCACAUAUCUACGUCUCCCUUUCUGUCCUGUCUGGUCUCCCUCCCUGUAAGCAAUUGUUGCUCUGUCAGUUAACCUGCAACUGCCAUCCUAGGAGGCAGAGUAAAAAAACGUUGGCUUGCAUAGUUUGGUUUUACGUUAAAGAAUAGUGCGAAUCAUUGGAUCACUCAAGUCUCACCAUGGCUUGACCCCACUUGUUUUUUUUUGUUUUGUUUUGAUUUGUUUUGUUUUGUUUUUAGUACUUUCCUUAUUAUGGCAAGAAUGCGUUCAGGUGAAUACAGAAUACAUAUGACAGAAGACUGUACACAUGGUCCAAAUUUCCCCGAUUCCCAUUUUCCCAGGCCCACGCUUGUUACCUUACUUUCAUAUUUUAUUAUUAGUAGCUCUCAAUAGUUUCCUUAUAGUCUUACAUUGAAUUUAUUAAUAGGAACAACUGACUGUUUUGACUUCUUUUAUGAAUAAGUUUUAUUUCCCAUAGCAUAUUGUCCUUUUCCUCUUUCUACCUCAUGAAAUGUGUUGUGUGUUAAUUUAAAUUUGGCCAUAUUCAUAAAAGGAGAGGGGUGAUGGUUAGUAGACAAGAGGAUGGGGAGUAGGGAAGAAAAGGAAGUAAAAGGGAGGGUAAUUGUGGGGUUAGAUAUCAUCAAAAUACGUGACAUGCACCUAGGAAAAUACCACAUUCAAACCCAAUGUUGAGUAAAAGUGUAUGCACGAAUAAAAACUUAAUGAAACGUAGUUAAAA